GUGAAUCAUCGAAUCUUUGGACGCAAAUUGCACUCCCUGGUAUUCCGGGGAGUAUGCCUGUUUGAGGGUCGUUGGAACAAAAAUCGAAGCGUCGCUCUUUUUUUUUAAGGGUGAUCGCGUGGGAAUUGAGCGGUCUUUCAAAUGUUAAUUCAUGUCAAGGUGGCUUAAAAUUAAUCAAUCGGGUACGAUUAAAGCGUAUUUAAGAUAAAUUUUGAUUAAGAACGCGCGAUGAAGGUACAAUCUCAGGUAGUAGGUUUGAUUUGAGGUUGUC
rnacentral:misc_RNA from 1 species